rnacentral:lncRNA from 10 species
UUGAGCCAAAGGGACACUUCUUCCUGCUGCAUUUCUUUGCCACACUCCAAGUUCUGACAUCCAACACCGCAGGGUGGCUGACCCCCGCCCUCCUCCCUCGGUGGCCCACAGGGAUCUCAAGUUCAACAUCAACUUCCCCCUAGACUGACUCCAGAUUCUAUAUUGUUCAUCUCAGCAAAUUCAUUCAUUCAUUCAUUCAGCACACAUUUAUUGAGUAGCUACUCUGUGGCUGAUCCCACUCUAGGGGCCAAGGGUGCAUCCGUGAACAAGCACACCCGAAUUCCCUGUUCUGUGGAGCUGGUAACCUAGCAUUUACCUGUUUGUAUGCUUUGUCCUCACAGUUUCUAGAAAGGCGGGAUUGUGCCUUGAGCCUGCCCAGCUCGGCACUCAUGACAAAGCCUGGCAUAUAGUAGGCUCUUUGGAAAUGUUUCUGUGCCAAAGAAGGAAAGAACCAUCCAGAAGGCAGGUAGACCCUGAGGGCCAGGAGGAUGCUCGGACCUGGGGAAAGGCCUGGAAGGAGAUGCUCGAGCCUGCCAACACUGGGAGGUGGGGAUCAAUGACCAGCUGACACAACGCUACGUCACUUGUUCCAAUGUGCAUUUGUUAUUUUGUGUUUUGAAAAAGCGAGUAAGAAAAUCUUGAAAUGAAAAAGAGAUUGAAUAAACAAG